rnacentral:misc_RNA from 1 species
GGAAAAUUUCUCGCAGUUCAGCCAACUGCUCAUCAUCUAACUUAACAGGUGCUUUAUUGCUCAUAUUUCUCUGUGAAGCAAUAAAUCAAACACUUGAUCUGCAGAUUAAAAUUGUCCUUCAAAGAAAGAAUAUCAAUGGAUACCCUUUUCCAACCAACUGGGUACUCUGUUUUCCUGCUAUUCGUGCCGUCCUCUUUCUCUUGCUGUUCUACUGACCUUUUGACUACUCUUUGCUCAAUUUUGUGUCACUUUCGAAUAGCUAUUUUUCUUGGACUUGGUAAUGGAUCCACCAAAUUCUAUGAAUUUGUUGAAUUACAAGGAAAAGUUAUACAGAUUUGUAGAAUUGAUAUUGAAAGAAAAUAUUGACAA